rnacentral:misc_RNA from 1 species
UCAAAGAGCGCCUGAUUUGCCUCCAGCCCAAUCGUCUUGAGCGUGUAGGCAAGCGCAUCACGCGUGACUGCCCAGAAGUCCUGGUAGUCCCCCAUCAUGGUUCGCAGCCAAGUGUAUUCAAGCUGCUUCAUGCGCCAGACCUGGGUAAUAUAGUCUCCGUAACCGGGGAAAGCCUUGUCGGUCACCGCGGACACAGUCUGCACAUCGUAUAGCGUGCCAUAAGCGUCGAAUACUAAUGCCUUAAUCGCCAUA